GACGAACGCUGGCGGCGUGCUUAACACAUGCAAGUCGAACGGAAAGGCCCUGCUUUUGUGGUGCUCGCGUGUGGCGAACGCGGGUGAGACACGUGUGUAACCUCCGCCUUGUUGCGGGAGAACUUCAUGAAAAUGGGUCGAAUACCCCAUAUGACCUCGGAUGGCAUAUGGGAGGUAGGUAAGUUUGGGCGUUUGUGCAUGGACUGGAGGCCUUUCAGUUUGUUGGUGGGUUAGUGGCUUACCAAGGCAUUGACGGGUAGCCGGCCUGAGAGGGUGACCGGCCACAUUGGGACUGAGAUACGGCCCAGACUCCUACGGGAGGCAGCAGUGGGGAAUAUUGCACAAUGGGCGGAAGCCUGAUGCAGCGACGCCGCGUGCGGGAUGACGGCCUUCGGGUUGUAAACGGCUUUCGCCUGUGACGAAGCGUGAGUGACGGUAAUGUGUAAAGAAGCACCGGCUAACUACGUG
rnacentral:rRNA from 1 species